AUAGCCUAGUGGUUAAGGCCAUGGAUCGCCAAUCCCUAGACAGCGAGUUCGACUCCCGCU
rnacentral:tRNA from 1 species